rnacentral:rRNA from 1 species
GAUGAACGCUGGCGGCGUGCCUAAUACAUGCAAGUCGAGCGAACGGACGAGAAGCUUGCUUCUCUGAUGUUAGCGGCGGACGGGUGAGUAACACGUGGAUAACCUACCUAUAAGACUGGGAUAACUUCGGGACACCGGAGCUAAUACCGGAUACUAUUUUGAACCGCAUGGUUCAAAAGUAAAAGAAGGUCUUGCUGUCAUUUAUAGAUGGAUCCGCGCUUCAUUAGCUAGUUGGUAAGGUAACGGCUUACCAAGGCACCGAUGCAUUGCCGACCUGAGAGGGUGAUCGGCCACACUGGAACUGAGGAACGGACCCGACGCCUACGGGAGGAAGCAGUAGAGAAUCUACCGCAAUGGGCGAAAGCCUGACGGAGCAACGCCGCGUGAGUGAGGAAGGUCUGCGGAUCGUAAAACUCUGUUAUUAGGGAAGAACAUAUGUGUAAGUAACUGUGCACAUCAUGACGGUACCUAAUCAGAAAGCCACGGCUAACUACGUG